rnacentral:rRNA from 1 species
CCUACGGGUGGCAGCAGUUGGGAAUAUUGCACAAUGAGGGAAACCCUGAUGCAGCGACGCCGCGUGCGUGAAGAAGUACUUCGUUAUGUAAAGCUCUAUCAGCAGGGAAGAAAAUGACGGUACCUGAGUAAGAAGCGCCGGCUAACUACGGGCCAGCAGCCGCGGUCAUACGUAGGGGGCAAGCGGUAUCCGGUUUUACUGGGUGUAAAGGGAGCGUAGACGGCAGUGCAAGUCUGGAGUGAAAGGCGGGGGCUCAAACCCCGGACUGCUCUGGAUACUUUACGGCUGGAGUGAAGGAGAGGUAAGUGGAAUUCCAAGUGUAGCGGUGAAAUGCGUAGAUAUUAGGAGGAACACCAGAGGCGAAGGCGGCUUACUGGACUGUAACUGACGUUGAGGCUCGAAAGCGUGGGGAGCAAACAGGAUUAGAUACCCGGGUAGUC